rnacentral:rRNA from 1 species
UACGUAGGGUGCAAGCGUUGUCCGGAAUUAUUGGGCGUAAAGAGCUCGUAGGCGGUCUGUCGCGUCGGCUGUGAAAACUCGGGGCUCAACCCCGAGCCUGCAGUCGAUACGGGCAGACUAGAGUGCUGUAGGGGAGACUGGAAUUCCUGGUGUAGCGGUGAAAUGCGCAGAUAUCAGGAAGAACACCAAUGGCGAAAGCAGCUCUCUGGGACGGUACUGACGCUGAGACGCGAAAGCGUGGGGAGCGAACAGG